UAAGCUUCAGUAGCUCGUCAAAGGGAAGUGAAAGAGUGACGGUGAAACUAACUGUCUGUUUGUUUGAGGAACAGAAACCUACUGAUGGACAAGGCCUUCAUUUACAGCUAAGAUGUAAAACUGCAUCAUUAUUGUCGUAUCAGUCUUGUGAUUGAUAGUUCCCUUGCCCUAACUUCCCACCUGUCUCCAAGGUGAUGUUCUUCCCACUCUGACAGUCCUGCCCCCCUCAAGUGUGGAGCUGCAGCAGGGGAAGGCCACUCAUGUGCCUGGCCAUCAAGGGCUCCCCCUCAGACUGGAAGCUGAGCUGGAAGUUGGAAGUCAGCAGCAGUAACACCUGGGAGGUGACCGGGAACCCCGGCAUCCUGGAGAAGGACGGCCACUACAGCUGGAGCAGCACCCUGACCCUCCCUGUUGACCAGUGGAAGAAGGUGGGCUCUGUGACCUGUAAGGCCACCCAGAGAUCCCAGUCUCCGCUCUGUGAGGAGAUAUCAGUGUCUUGAAGGAGUUCCCCACUCUGACUCCACAUCUUCUUACUGUUCCAGCAAUACGAGCACACUUGUCUAAUGCUGGGCUGGACCCUGUAUGGGAAAUCUUCCUCCACCUGGCUCUUGUACCAUUAUGGAACAAACAACAAUGAGAGAUCUGUUUGGCUUUCACUAGGCAAGUCAGUUAAGAACAAAUUCUUAUUUUCAAUGACAGCCUAGGAACAGUGGGUUAUCUGCCUUGUUCAGGGGCA